GACGAACGCUGGCGGCGUGCUUAACACAUGCAAGUCGAACGGAAAGGCCCUGCUUUUGUGGGGUGCUCGAGGGGCGAACGGGUGAGUAACACGUGAGUAACCUGCCCUUGACUUUGGGAUAACUUCAUGAAACUGGGGCUGAUACCGGAUAGGAUCUCCUGCUGCAGGGAGGUGCUUGGAAAGUUUCGGCGGUUGGGGCUGGAGUCGCGGCUUAUGAGCUUGGUGGUGGGGUAGUGGCAUACCAAGGCUGUGACGGGUAGCCGGCCGGAGAGGGUGACCGGCCACCUUGGGCCUGCGAGACGGCCCAGACUCCUACGGUAGGCAGAAGUGGGGAAUAUUGCACAAUGGGCGGAAGCCUGAUGAAGAAACGCCGCGUGCGUGAUGACCGCCUUCGGGUUGUAAACCGCUUUCGCCUGUGACGAAGCGUGAGUGACGGUAAUGGGUAAAGAAGCACCGGCUAACUACGUG
rnacentral:rRNA from 1 species